UUUUUUUUCUUUUCCUUUUUUUUUUUUUUUUUGAGAUGGAGCCUUGCUCUGUCACCCAGGCUGGAGUGCAGUGGCACGAUCUCAGCUCACUGCCAACCUCUGCCUCCCAAGUUCAAGCAAUUCUUCUGCUUCAGCCUCCCGAGUAGCUGGGAUUACAGGCACCCGCCACCACGUCCAGCUAAUUUUUGUAUUUUUAGUAGAGACAGGGUUUCACCAUGUUGUCCAGGGUGGUCUCAAACUCCUGACCUCAGGUGAUCCGCCCGCCUCGGCCUCCCAAAGUGCUGGCAUUACAGGCGUGAGCUACUGCGCCCAGCCCCCUUGUACAUUUAAGUGAUUAGGAAAUAUUCAGGGUAAAAUUAUGAUUUUGUGAGCAAUAAAUCACAAUCCUAUUUUAAUACCACUAAAAUCUUGAUCAAAGCAAGUUCACAGGACUUGGUUACUCAUGCCCAUAAUCCCAGCAAUCUGGGAGGCUGAGACAGAAAGAUCACUUGAGCCCAGGAGUUUGAGACCAGAGUGGACAAUAUGGUGAGACCUCAUCUCUACAAAACAUUUUUUAAAAAUUAGCUGGGUGUGAUGGUGCAUGCCUAUAAUCCCAUCUACUUGGGAGGCUGAGGUGGGAGCAUGGCUUGAGACCAGGAGGUCGAGGCUGCAGUGAGCUGUGAUCAAGCUGUGACGGUGCCAUUGCACUCUAGCUGGGGCAACAUAGCAAGACCCUGUCUCAAAAGAAAAAAAAAAAAGAAAGUUUCUUUUUCAGCUCAGAAUACGAGAGCCAACGUGAAGAAACACACUUGUUUUGACGACGCUUACUCUCCCAAGUGUGGAUCUGUGAGCAUUAUUCCUUGUUUUUUUUUUUGGAGACAGGGUCUCAUCCUGUGGCUCAGGCUGGAGUGCAGUGGCUCAGUCUCAGCUCACUGUAACCUCCGCCUCUCAGGCACAAGCCAUUCUCCCAUCUCAGUCUCCAGAGUAGCUGGGACCACAGGCACAGCGCCACCACACCCGGCUAAUCUUUGGUAUUUUUGGUAGAGACAGGGUUUUUCCAUGUUGCUCAAGCUGGUCUCUAAUUCCUGACCUGAAGUGAUCCAACUGCUUCCGCCUCUCAAAGUGCUGGGAUUACAGGCCUGAGCCACCGCACCUAGCCCAUUGUUCACGUUUGUGACCCCUUUUAAUUUUUAUUUAUUGCUUUAUCAUCUUACUGAUUCCUCGAAACAAUCUUACGGGGCGAGCCGGUUCCAUGGGCGCUGAAGAAACAUUUCCUCUUUCAAAGCCUCAAUUUUUUGAACGAUACGCAUUGCUAAAGAGGAAGCAAUCAAACCUAUCAGGCGAGCUCUGCCCUCCGCCCAGCGAGCUGCUGCUUCCUGGUGUUAAAACGCUUUCGGGUCCUCCUGGCGAGUUUUAAGUCACACUGGAUCGCUGCUCAUUUUCGGAGGGCACCUCGCACCCAUUCACCUGGAAGGCACCCAAGGGGAAUCGAUUUAGGAAAUUCACUUCAUGUCACCCUAACAACAAAGCACAGCCUGCAGCUUUCACCCACGUGACAUAAAUGCUAAUCCUAUGUGCGAAACAUUUGGGUUCAUUCGAUUUUUAAAAAAUUAGUAACAGAGAUGGGGUCUCGCCAUGUUGUCCAGGCUGCUCUCCACCGCCUGGGCUCAAGCCGUUCUCCCGCCUCGGCCUCCCUCGGCGCUGAGAUUACAGGCGGGAGCCACCGCGUCAGCCUCCUCUCGUUUUUUCGGCGACAAAGCCAGCCCGCCUGCGGGGCGUUCCGUUCGGAGAAACUCUGUGAGGGACGCCGCGGGGGCUCCCAGGGGACGCGGCGAAAUCAAAACAGUCACCGGUGGUUCACAAAACCACCUCAGGAAAUGCUUCCAAAGGCAGGUCUGGCCUUCACAAGGCGACGGCUCUUCAGCCUCCGACACGAACCUGAGUCGUCCACAGCACUGAGCCGCAGCCAGCCCGGGCAAGCCGCCGAGCGACCGCGGACGCCGUAGCGAGCAGCCGCCUGCUCCCGCCACACCCGCCGAGCCAGCCGCGCGG
ensembl:lncRNA